AUGGCGCCGCGGAUCCAGGAGCCGCCGUGGACGGGGUCGUUGAAGUGGCCGAUGUUGAUGAGCCAGACGGCCACGCAGAUGAGCGAGAUGACCUUGGAGAGCUGCUCGCCGAACUCGUCCAGCUUCUGCUGCAGCGGCGUCUUGUCCUGCUCCGUGGCCGCCAUCUCGUCGCGGAUCUUGCCGAUCUCCGUGUUCACCCCCGUGGCCACCACGAUGCCCACCGCCUUGCCCGCGCCGAUGUUGGUGGGCAUCGUGGUGGGGAGGUGGUGGCCUUGGGGACAAGGUUUUGGGGACAUGGGGAUGGGGUUGGUGGCCUUGGGGUUCUGGUGGCCAUGGGAACAAGGACUUGGGGACAUGGUGGCCUUAGGGACACGGUGGUCCUGGGGACAAGACCUUGGGGACUUCAUGGUGGGGAUGUGGUGGCCCUGGGGACAAGGCCCUGGGGACAUGGCGAUGGUGGCCUUGGGAACCCAGUUAUGGGGUUGGUGGCCUUGGGGACAAGGUCUUGGGGUCCUGGUGGUGGCCCCGGGGUCCCAGUGGUGGCCCCGGGGUCCCGGUGGUGGCCCCGGGGUCCCAGUGGUGGCCU
rnacentral:lncRNA from 1 species